rnacentral:rRNA from 1 species
GAUGAACGCUGGCGGCGUGCCUAAUACAUGCAAGUCGAGCGAACAGAUAAGGAGCUUGCUCCUUUGACGUUAGCGGCGGACGGGUGAGUAACACGUGGGUAACCUACCUAUAAGACUGGAAUAACUCCGGGAAACCGGGGCUAAUGCCGGAUAACAUUUAGAACCGCAUGGUUCUAAAGUGAAAGAUGGUUUUGCUAUCACUUAUAGAUGGACCCGCGCCGUAUUAGCUAGUUGGUAAGGUAACGGCUUACCAAGGCAACAAUACGUAGCCGACCUGAGAGGGUGAUCGGCCACACUGGAACUGAGACACGGUCCAGACUCCUACGGGAGGCAGCAGUAGGGAAUCUUCCGCAAUGGGCGAAAGCCUGACGGAGCAACGCCGCGUGAGUGAUGAAGGGCUUCGGAUCGUAAAACUCUGUUAUUAGGGAAGAACAAAUGUGUAAGUAACUGUGCACGUCUUGACGGUACCUAAUCAGAAAGCCACGGCUAACUACGU